rnacentral:rRNA from 1 species
GAUGAACGCUGGCGGCGUGCCUAAUACAUGCCAGUCGAGCGAACAGACGAGGAGCUUGCUCCUCUGACGUUAGCGGCGGACGGGUGUGUAACACGUGGAUACCCUACCUAUCUUACUGGGAUAACUUCGGGAAACGGGCGCUAAUACCGGAUACUCUAUUGAACCGCAUGGUUCAAUAGUGAAGGACGGUUUUGCUGUCACUUAUAGUUGGAUCCGCGCCGCAUUAGCGAGUUGUUAAGGUAUAGGCUUACCAAGGCAACGAGGCGUAGCCGACCAGAGAGGGUGAUCGGGCACACGGGAACAGAGGCACGGUCAUGAGGCCUAGGGGAGGAAGCAGGAGGGAAGUGUCGGCAAUGGGCGAAAGCGUGACGGAGUAACGCCGCGUGGGCGAUGAAGGUCUGCGGAUCGUAAAACUGUGAUAUUAGUGAAGAACAAAUGUGGAAGUAACUAUGCACGUCGUGACGGUACCUGAUCAGGAAGCCACGGCUAACUACGUG